rnacentral:rRNA from 1 species
GACGAACGCUGGCGGCGUGCUUAACACAUGCAAGUCGAGCGGUAAGGCCCUUUCGGGGUACGACGAGCGGCGAACGGGUGAGUAACACGUGGGUGACCUGCCCUUAGCUCUGGGAUAAGCCUGGGAAACGUAGGGUCUAAUACCGGAUAUGACUCCAUGACGCAUGUUGUGGGGUGGAAAGCCUUGUGCGGCUAGGGAUGGGCCCGCGGCCUAUCAGCUUGUUGGUGGGGUGAUGGCCUACCAAGGCGACGACGGGUAGCCGGCCUGAGAGGGCGACCGGCCACACUGGGACUGAGACACGGCCCAGACUCCUACGGGAGGCAGCAGUGGGGAAUCUUGCGCAAUGGGCGAAAGCCUGACGCAGCGACGCCGCGUGGGGAUGACGGCCU